GAGGGAGAGAAAAAGAGAGAAAGGGGUGGAGGGAACAUAUGCGCUCAAAUGUGGGAAGUCGGGGCAGCUGUGACGCACUGGAGCGACAAAGCAGUCAGGAUAAAGUGCAAUGAAAAUUAUCUGACUACAAUGCAGAGAUACAGGAGGACCAAUCUUCUAAUUUUUCUUCUAAUUUUGUUCUUAUAGAGACCUGAAGGAGCCAACAAACCACAGUUGAGCUGGACACAACCGAAAUUGCUGCUGCAGUACCGCCUGCUGUAUUGAAGCCGGUCACGAAACUGAGUAACCCUCUUGCUAUUCUGCAACAUGUUGGAAUUGAACUGCUCCCUUGCUGAUCUAUUCUCAUCUAAUGCCACAAUUUUCAAUGGACCCGGCUGCCCUGAUGCUGCUUUGGCAUGUGGGAUGAAUAUCUCCUGGGUUCUAGCUAACGCUACAGCCAAAGAUCUGGGUGUGUUGUGCUGGAGGGUAGAGGAUUACCUUGCAGGAGAGCUUGGGCUCCAGACAUCCCCAGUGUUUAUCCCUGUCUGUGUCACCUAUCUCACCAUCUUCUUGGUGGGGGUACUGGGAAAUUCUUUGACUUGUGUGGUCAUUUUGCGCUACAGGGUGAUGCAGACGCCAACAAACUAUUACCUGCUGAGCCUGGCAGCGUCUGACCUGCUGGUGCUGCUACUGGGCAUGCCGUUAGAGAUCUACGAGAUGUGGCAGAACUACCCCUUCCUGCUCGGAGAGGGAGGCUGCUACUUCAAAACGUUCCUGUUUGAAACCGUCUGCUUCGCUUCGAUCCUCAAUGUCACAGCGCUUAGUGUGGAGCGCUAUGUUGCCGUGGUGCACCCACUCAAAGUCAAACACAUGACUACACGAGCUCACGUCAAGAGGGUGAUCUUCAUGCUGUGGGUGCUGUCCAUGCUGUGUGCUGUGCCAAACACCAGUCUGCAAGGGAUUGAGGAGCUGGAGCCAUUGUUUGGACGAAGAUUUCCCCAAUCUGCUGUGUGCAAAGUGGUUAAGCCCCAGUGGAUGUACAACCUGAUCAUCCUGAUUUCGACACUGGUCUUCUUCCUGCUCCCCAUGCUGAUCAUCAGUAUUCUCUACCUGCUCAUUGGUAUACAGCUGCACAGGGAGAAGGUUUUGACUGUGAUCGACCCAAGGUGUAGCUUUGGACCAGAAAGUCUCUCCAAGUCCCACAAGCAGAAGCUGAGCAAACGCAACAUGCAAGUCACUAAAAUGCUGUGUGUGUUGGUGGUAGUAUUCGGAUUCUGCUGGGCUCCCUUCCACAUGGACCGCUUGAUGUGGAGCUACAUGGACACCUCUGAUGUGAAGCACAUCCAUAUAUUUGGGCCAAUCCACAUCGUGUCUGGAGUCUUCUUCUACCUGAGCUCUGCCAUCAACCCCAUCCUCUACAACCUCAUGUCCACCAGGUUCAGAGAGAUGUUCAGUCACAUUACCUGCUGCUCUAAACGCUGGCAGACUCGCUCCAGCUUAAAGAUGACCCAACGCAGCACCUUGAGCAACAAAUUGAGCAACAGUUUGAAAACGACUUAAGUCAAAGUCAAAUAAUCUUAUAUACUGGGCAUAAUGGUAGCCAUUAAACCUUCAAAUGGGAAGGACAUGAACUGAACAGAUAUUUCUCUGUAAUUGGUAAGCCAUGCAGAUGAAGACAACCAAAAGUUAACCUGAAUAUAUUGUACCAAGUGACAUGGGCUACAUAACUAGCAUCAGCGAUUAUCUAUUUUCUGAACAAGACAGAUGCAAUCCAGCGCUCAGCAUCCUAAGCGCAGUAACAUUCUCAACAUUGCCUACUUUUUUUUCGACAGUACAAUUUCCAGGACUAGAGGUGCUGUUAAUGCAAGGACAUGGCUCCUAUCCAUUUUUCUUACAUAU